UAACACGUAGGUAAUCUACCUUUGAUGGGGGAAUAACUUAGGGAAACUUAAGCUAAUACCGCAUAAUGCAGCGGCAUCUAUGAUGACAGUUGUUAAAGGAGCAAUCCGCUUAAAGAGGAGCCUGCGGCAGAUUAGCUAGUUGGUAAGGUAAUGGCUUACCAAGGCUACGAUCUGUAUCCGACCUGAGAGGGUGGUCGGACACACUGACACUGAAUAACGGGUCAG
rnacentral:rRNA from 1 species